CCCGAAACCCGGUGAUCUAGCCAUGGGCAGGUUGAAGGUUGGGUAACACUAACUGGAGGACCGAACCGACUAAUGUUGAAAAAUUAGCGGAUGACUUGUGGCUGGGGGUGAAAGGCCAAUCAAACCGGGAGAUAGCUGGUUCUCCCCGAAAGCUAUUUAGGUAGCGCCUCGUGAACUCAUCUUCGGGGGUAGAGCACUGUUUCGACUAGGGGGUCAUCCCGACUUACCAACUCGAUGCAAACUACGAAUACCGAAGAAUGUUAUCACGGGAGACACACGGCGGGUGCUAACGUUCGUCGUGAAGAGGGAAACAACCCAGACCGCCAGCUAAGGUCCCAAAGUCAUAGUUAAGUGGGAAACGAAGUGGGAAGGCUCAGACAGCCAGGAUGUUGGCUUAGAAGCAGCCAUCAUUUAAAGAAAGCGUAAUAGCUCACUGGUCGAGUCGGCCUGCGCGGAAGAUGUAACGGGGCUAAACUAUGCACCGAAGCUGCGGCAGCGAACGUAUCACUUAAACUGAUUAAGUGAUACUCAAAUGUAUCAAAACGAUUGACGGAGCGAAGCGACGUCAAUGCGUCCAACAAAGUCGAGGCGGAAACGUCAGGCAGUCAGUUUAAGGAUACGUUCGUUGGGUAGGGGAGCGUUCUGUAAGCCUGUGAAGGUGUGCUGUGAGGCAUGCUGGAGGUAUCAGAAGUGCGAAUGCUGACAUAAGUAACGAUAAUGCGGGUGAAAAACCCGCACGCCGGAAGACCAAGGGUUCCUGUCCAACGUUAAUCGGGGCAGGGUGAGUCGACCCCUAAGGCGAGGCAGAAAUGCGUAGUCGAUGGGAAACGGGUUAAUAUUCCCGUACUGGUGAUAAUUGCGAUGGGGGGACGGAGAAGGCUAGGCUAUCCGGGCGACGGUUGUCCCGGUUUAAGGAUGUAGGC
rnacentral:rRNA from 1 species